GAUGAAGAACGCAGCGAAAUGCGAUAAGUAAUGUGAAUUGCAGAAUUCAGUGAAUCAUCGAAUCUUUGAACGCACAUUGCGCCCGUUAGCAUUCUAGCGGGCAUGCCUGUCCGAGCGUCAUUUCAACCCUCAGGGUCCCCGUUCCGGCGGGGAACCUGGUGUUGGGGAUCGGCCCGCCCCGUGCGGCGCCGUCCCCCAAAUUCAGUGGCGGUCUCGCUGCAGCCUCCCCUGCGUAGUAGUUACAACCUCGCAUCGGAGCUCAGCGCGGCCACGCCGUAAAACCCCCGACUUUCUGAACGUUGACCUCGGAUCAGGUAGGAAUACCCGCUGAACUUAAGCAUAUCAAUAAGCGGAGGAA
rnacentral:misc_RNA from 1 species